AUAAACCGGAGGAAGUGGGGAUGACGUCAAGUCGGCAUGGCCUUUAUAUCCUGGGCUACACACACGCUACAAUGGGAAGGGACAAUAGGUUGCGAAGCCGCGAGGCGGAGCCAAUCCAGCAAAACUUCCCUCAGUUCAGAUUGCAGGCUGCAACUCGCCUGCAUGAAGUUGGAGUUGCUAGUAAACGCAGGUCAGCCAUACUGCGUUGAAUACGUUCCCGGGGCUU
rnacentral:rRNA from 1 species